CUGUUUGGCUGCUUGGUUGUGGGGAGGCUCGUGCCGACAGCUGGACAGCAAGCGGGACAGGCAUUUGUUUUUGACCUGCCUGAUUAUGACAGUAUCAACCAGGUUGUGGUUUUCAUGCUGGGAACAAUCCCAUUUCCUGAGAGAAUGGGAGGAUCUACUUUUCCUAUCCUGAUUCAAAUUGAAUGCCGGUAUGGCAACUCCAAGGAUUUGUCACAAAUGGGAAACCAAGUGCCAUCUUUAGAAUUUCAGAUCUUAAAUCUGGAGAGGGAAGCCAACAUCCUUUGUUUUUGUUUUUGUUUUGAGA
rnacentral:lncRNA from 1 species